UUGCCUCUUGAAAAAGGACAACGAUAGAGAUUAUGACGUGGAGUAUGCAGUGAUACAUCAAAAUCACAACAUAGGUGGGGAUCGUUCCCCUCACAACAUAGCUCUAAUUCGUACAAAGAAAACUGUUCUUUUCGAAGAUCAUAUCCAUCCCGCUUGUUUGCCAGUAAACCAAAAUCUUCAACAAAUGGAACAACAAACAUACGUCGUUGCAGGUUGGAAUGGUUUUAAUUAUACCUUUCGGGAAGCUAUUGUUUCUCAACGAAAGUGUGUAAGUGGAAAACUUGUAAAUAUUGCCGAGAUGCAGUUUUGCACCAACCACGCUGACGUGAAUUGCACACCUAUGUUAGGAGCACCGCUUGGUAAAUUUGUAUGGUUCUUGGGAAAGCGAUUUGUGCAGUUUGGAAUAAAUCUUAAUCAAGACCCCAAACAAGGUUGUCAAGAUAAGGACAUGGUGUUCUUAAUGGUAGCAUACUGUAUGGAUUGGAUUGUAGCUAACAUGGAAGAAUAAGAGUUGACCUUAUUAAAAAAAAAAUAAUAAAUCAAAUGACCAUCUUUCGAAACACAA